GGCCGCGUGGCCCAAUGGAUAAGGCGCCUGCCUACGAAGCAGGAGAUUCCAGGUUCGAGCCCUGGCGUGGUCA
rfam:Coccomyxa subellipsoidea C-169, whole genome shotgun sequence.